UGUAAGCGUAUACCAAAGUUGUUGCAGUUAAGACGCUCGUAGUCGGAAUUUGGCAGUUCCGGAUGUGUGCACGUCGUGUGCGCACUUCGCGGGGAUUGCUUUUGUGGUCUUGCGUAGGAUGAGGCACUUUUAUUAGUGAACGUCCUCACGCAACCACUUUUUACUGUGAGAAAAUCAGAGUGCUCAAAGCAGGCAUUUGCCGUGAAUGUAUUAGCAUGGAAUAAUAGAAUAGGACUCGGUUCUAUUUUGUUGGUUUGUUGGGACUGAGUAAUGAUUAAGAGGGACAGUUGGGGGCAUUUGUAUUUCGGCGCUAGAGGUGAAAUUCUUAGAUUGCCGAAAGACAAACUGCUGCGAAAGCGUCUGCCAAGGAUGUUUUCAUUGA
rnacentral:rRNA from 1 species